UCGAACGCUGGCGGCAGGCCUACAGAUUAAAGUCGAGCGCGCCUUCGGGUGAGCGGCGGACGGGUUAGUAACGCGUGGGAACGUGCCCAGCUCUGCGGAAUAGCCUCUGGAAACGGAGAGUAAUACCGCAUACGCCCUUUUGGGGAAAGAUUUAUCGGAGUUGGACCGGCCCGCGUUAGAUUAGGUAGUUGGUGGGGUAAUGGCCUACCAAGCCUACGAUCUAUAGCUGGUUUUAGAGGAUGAUCAGCAACACUGGGACUGAGACACAGCCCAGACUCCUACGGGAGGCAGCAGUGGGGAAUCUUAGACAAUGGGGGAAACCCUGAUCUAGCCAUGCCGCGUGAGUGACGAAGGCCCUAAGGUCGUAAAGCUCUUUCGCCAGGGAUGAUAAUGACAGUACCUGGUAAAGAAACCCCGGCUAACUCCGUGCCAGCAGUCGCGGUAAUACGGAGGGGGUUAGCGUUGUUCGGAAUUACUGGGCGUACAGCGCACGUAAGCGG
rnacentral:rRNA from 1 species